CCCUAACUCUACCCCUCACAGAAAACCUUCUGCAUUGUUACAAUUAAAAAAAUAAUAAUCUUUGUUUACUUAAUUUUUAUACCAAUUUUAUAAAUGAGGACAUCCCCAAAGGGAGGAUUUUGGAGAUUUUGUCAGGUUUAGCUCACUUUUGGUUACAAAUUUGUCCUCCAAAUAUGGUUAAGUAGGUACACACACACAUAUGCACGCAAAUAGUAUUUAGAGCUAACAAGGUAACCACACCACACCGUAUUAUAUUGAUAUCAUACUGAUGAAUUAAAUUAAAGUUCUUUGUUUUUAGUUACCAACGUUUCCACCCAGCUGUACAGUGAAAACAGUCAAAGGAUUGCUGUCUGUAAUUCCAUAUUUAAACAGAAAGCACCCACUCUUCAUUGGGAAUCUGCCAUAAACUUUUCCUCCAAUAUCAGCUCUGUUGAGAAGCUUGGCAGGUUUUUUAUUAUGGAGAAUCGAGUAUAUCUGCCUGCUGAUGUCAACAAUAGUGAGCUCACCUGUGUGGCCACAUACACCUCUGAGUCUGGCUUUGUUCAGCAGAAGAGCACACUUCAUCUCACAACAGUGCACUGAAGAUGCUUUGCUGCAAAUCCAAAAUCUCAACACCAGCUGAAGACAAACCAUCCCAGGUAAGA
rnacentral:lncRNA from 1 species